UAGCGCGUACACGCCGCCCGUACUCUUACCGAGCCAUAGUCAGACAAUACAUAAAAAAUCAUUCUGGGUGAAGGGGAGGCAAGUCGUAACAUGGUAAGUGU
rnacentral:rRNA from 1 species